rnacentral:rRNA from 1 species
CACGUAGGAGGCAAACGUUAUCCGGAUUUACUGGGCGUAAAGCGCGUGUAGGUGGUUCUGUAAGUAGGGCGUGAAAGCUCCCGGCUCAACUGGGAGAGGCCGUUCUAAACUGCAGAGCUAGAGGAUCGUAGAGGGAGGUGGAAUUCCAGGUGUAGCGGUGGAAUGCGCAGAUAUCUGGAGGAACACCAGUGGCGAAAGCGGCCUCCUGGACCAUUCCUGACACUCAGACGCGAAAGCUAGGGUAGCAAACGGGAUUAGAUACCCUGGUAGU